UUCUACCCAAGGUCGUCUGAUUGCCCAGGAGGCUCACAUCCAUUGAGGAGGAAGCAGCAUUUAUGGCUGGUGCUCCUCUCACUUGCCAGAGGGGUAACGUCCAUCACAGACAUCCCCGCCCCUCCCCACCCUGGGCAUGUUUCUCCCACAAUGCUCUGCAGCUUUCUACCAGGUCCUCUCUCUGCCCAAAGGCCUCACUGUGGAAUCUUAACUGCUGGGAAAGAAUAAUUUUUCAGAUGCAUAAACCAGUUGGUGAAACCAGCCAUAUUUUAGGGGGGCUCGACUUCUCAUUAUGUAAAAAAAUUCAAAAUAUUACGUCAGGCAAGGGAAAUAAGUAUGCUCUGAGGACCAGCGCAACCCGUGGUCUCACCGCUUUACCCUGCUGGUACCAGAAUUUCACAAAAUCAACAAGAAUCAUAAUUCAAUUGAUCCGGUUUGAUGAAAGCCACCGAAAAUGAGAAGUAAUCUCUUGCUGUAAGAUUUCGCUGUAAGACUUUAGAGGAGGUUCUCUUAGCUAACUGUAUAAAUACUAUAAAUCUACUCUGAUUUCCCCGAAUCUCUGCAUCAAAAUCUGUGUGUAUGAGAUCAGUAAGUCUUACAGAAAGCCAUAAAUGUGGAACAGUAGGAAGACCCACUUACCAAGGACACGGUUCAACCCCACAUGGGUGUGUUUGGAAGGUAUGUUGCUAACACGUGUCGAUCAAAAUAUAUGAUGUAUAAUCUGUAGCGUCUGAUGGUCAAAGCCUCUGUCUCCUUCUGCCCCCACAGCGAUUUCUAGGCUGACCCGCCAAGAGAAAAAGAUGUUUUUCGGUUGCCCCCAUGAGGACUGGGGGCUGAAACCCUCCACUUCAACGUGAACUCCCCGAGCUCUGUCACACGCAAAUUUCCCACUGCCAACCCCGGCCUGCAGGACGGGAAACCAGGCCGAUUCUGAAGCAACGCUGAGUUGUGCGUUGUAAACAGUGACCUAUUCAUAAAGCAUCUAUACUACAUUGUACCAGGCUAGCUUUUGUUCAGGACCAAACCCCUCUGUUUCCAGAAACAACAGCAACCACACUUGCCCUUCAGUUCCAAGGAAUUCCUGGAAAUUCUUCUGGGCAAACAGCACGCUCAGGGGAACAGAUCACUUAUACCGGGACUCUGACUGAUUGUUACAAGAGAUUCCACAGCAGGACUUUGGAAAAAGAGAAAGUAAAGAAACCCAGAAAAAAAGACAGUGAAAGUCUCCUAUUGACUUGAUAACACAGCCUCUCUUGUUCCUGGAACCUGAUUCACAGCUGAUGGUGACUUAUGGGAGGGGUAGAAGGAGGAAAUAUUUUAAAAUCGAAUUCUUUAAGACACAGAAAGGAAUUAAAGACAACUGAGAAACUGAACACAAA